CCCUUCCCAAAGCCGAAAACACAACUGGAGCGGUGCCUACAAUGGAUAAAAUGGUGUGGAAGGCCUCACUCCCAGCUGAAUGUCUCGAAAAUUAACAAGCAUACGUACGUCUGCUCAAAGUUGCUGUACAAGUGCUGAACCAGACUAGGGAGCAGCUCGGAGCCAGUCGAAAGCCACCCAAACAUCGGUGAAGUCCAUCAAUCGCUCUUGCAUCAGAUCACUUACAUUACAUGAUGAUGCCACCGUUGUACUUCACAGUUGGGAGGUUGGAGGCUUCGCCCUUCUUUGAUCAAUCGUAAAGAUGCUACUAUUCCCUCCGGAGUGGCAAAGAGGGUGGAGGGUCUGGGUGGAUGACGACAACACCAGGAGAAGCUCCUACAUUAAAGAUGUCUUCAUAGCAGCAAACAAGCUUUAACACAAGUUCCACAGCACUCUUCAUCCCCUCAGUAUGGCGGGAGGGCAGGGCUGUGAGGGGUCCGGGUUGAUUCUGAUCUCAAAAGAGCUGCAAUCUAAACUUUGUCUGCAGUUAGUUGGAGGCAUCAACUCAUAACCAAAAUGGGCAAUUGUACAAAUGUUGGGCUUUCUACUGUGGAAGCGUAAAGCUCUGUUUAAUUAGAUCAAAAAAGUGUUAUUAUUGUCUUUACCAUAAUAAAAUGAACUCUGUGAAAAAUUCACUCUGAGUGGAGACAUGCAAGCUGUCUGUCUGGAAAAACAGAUUAUAUUAGAGAAAAGUUCUUGGCGAGAGGAGAGAUUAAUGAGCUUGUUAUUGCAGGAAAUCUUGUGAUAUGCUGGCCCCUGCCAGGUCAAUUUGACCUGAGAGUUUGCAUCCAGAUAAGUGAUGAAAUUGUUAUUGUAAAACUGUCACGUACGCCAAUUUGAUAUUUUCCAGAUAUUCGGCUAAAUGUGUAUUCCCGGAAAAAGUAGAGAAAAGCAAUGUUGAAGGUGCCAAGAAGGUUUACGUAAAUGAGUAUGAUGAUGUCAAUUAGUCAGGAUGCAAUACAAUACACACUAAUGCUUUGUAUUUGUAUAAAAACCGCCCCAUAAAGAUUGAAGGGAGAGAAACUUCUGGAAUUUUUGAUGAUGAUUCUGUGCGCUUUUUGAAGAAUAAAGUCCCCUCUCGUGAGGAUUGUUUCAAGGGAGAAGAUUUUUAAGUAGUGUUUUAAUUAUUUAUCUAAGUUGCUUUAAAUCAAGAUUAAAAACUUGUUUGUUUAGAGUGGCCUUUGACUGUGCCAUUU